rnacentral:rRNA from 1 species
UACGGAGGGUGCAAGCGUUAAUCGGAAUUACUGGGCGUAAAGCGCACGUAGGCGGUUAUAUAAGUCAGAUGUGAAAGCCCCGGGCUCAACCUGGGAAUUGCAUUUGAAACUGUGUAACUAGAAUACGGGAGAGGGGGGUAGAAUUCCAAGUGUAGCGGUGAAAUGCGUAGAGAUUUGGAGGAAUACCAGUGGCGAAGGCGGCCCCCUGGCCCGAUAUUGACGCUGAGGUGCGAAAGCGUGGGGAGCAAAC